UGGGGAAUUUUGCGCAAUGGGGGAAACCCUGACGCAGCAACGCCGCGUGAGUGAUGAAGGCCUUCGGGUCGUAAAGCUCUGUCAGAGGGAAAGAAAUGCAGAUGCGCUAAUAUCGCGACUGCUUGACGGUACCCUCAAAGGAAGCACCGGCUAACUCCGUGCCAGCAGCCGUGGUAAUACAGAGGGGGCAAGCGUUAUUCGGAAUUAUUGGGCGUAAAGAGCGCGUAGGCGGUGUUUUAAGUGAGAUGUGCAAUCCCCGAGCUUAACUUGGGAACUGCAUCUCAUACUGGAACGCUAGAGUAUCGGAGAGGGUGGUAGAAUUCCACGUGUAGCGGUGAAAUGCGUAGAGAUGUGGAGGAAUACCAAUGGCGAAGGCAGCCCCCUGGGAUAACACUGACGCUCAUGCGCGAAAGCGUGGGGAGCAAACAGG
rnacentral:rRNA from 1 species